AUUGAACGCUGGCGGCAUGCCUUACACAUGCAAGUCGAACGGUAACAGGUCUUCGGAUGCUGACGAGUGGCGAACGGGUGAGUAAUACAUCGGAACGUGCCCGAUCGUGGGGGAUAACGCAGCGAAAGCUGUGCUAAUACCGCAUACGAUCUACGGAUGAAAGCGGGGGAUCGCAAGACCUCGCGCGGACGGAGCGGCCGAUGGCAGAUUAGGUAGUUGGUGGGAUAAAAGCUUACCAAGCCGACGAUCUGUAGCUGGUCUGAGAGGACGACCAGCCACACUGGGACUGAGACACGGCCCAGACUCCUACGGGAGGCAGCAGUGGGGAAUCUUCCACAAUGGGCGAAAGCCUGAUGGAGCGACGCCGCGUGAGCGAAGAAGGCCUCGGUUGUAAGCUCUGUCUGGAGGGACGGAAGGAAGUAGACGGUACCGUCCGGACGGGAAGGACCGACGGACGUAACCUAACCGUUAGCCAGCAGCCGCGGUAAAAGUAAGACGGUAACUCG
rnacentral:rRNA from 1 species